rnacentral:rRNA from 1 species
AUUGAACGCUGGCGGCAUGCCUUACACAUGCAAGUCGAACGGUAACAGGUCUUCGGAUGCUGACGAGUGGCGAACGGGUGAGUAAUACAUCGGAACGUGCCCGAUCGUGGGGGAUAACGAAGCGAAAGCUUUGCUAAUACCGCAUACGAUCUACGGAUGAAGGCAGGGGACCGCAAGGCCUUGCGCGAACGGAGCGGCCGAUGGCAGAUUAGGUAGUUGGUGGGAUAAAAGCUUACCAAGCCGACGAUCUGUAGCUGGUCUGAGAGGACGACCAGCCACACUGGGACUGAGACACGGCCCAGACUCCUACGGGAGGCAGCAGUGGGGAAUUUUGGACAAUGGGCGAAAGCCUGAUCCAGCCAUGCCGCGUGCAGGAUGAAAGCCUUCGGGUUGUAAACUGCUUUUGUACGGAACGAGAAGACUCUGGUUAACACCUGGGGUCCAUGACGGUACCGUAAGAAUAAGCACCGGCUAACUACGUGCCAGCAGCCGCUGUAACAC